rnacentral:rRNA from 1 species
GGAUGCGAUCAUACCAGCACUAAAGCACCGGAUCCCAUCAAUACUCCAAAGUUAAGCGUGCUUGGGUGAGAGUAGUACUAGGAUGGGUGACCUCCUGGGAAGUCCUCAUGUUGCAUCCC